AUUUUCAUCUAACAUUUGUCUGCAUGUUUCUCCAUCUUUUGUUAUUUUUCAGUGGGCAGCUCGGUUUGCCGAGAGAGAACUCUAUAACUUUAAGAAAGAAAAUGUAUAUAAAAGCAAAAAGAACCUGCUGAUCGAGGAACACUGCCACAUAGAGGAAAAAACCAUCUCAAUUGUUGAUGCAAAUUUCAAAUCUACAAGAGGAGUUGACUUAUAUUGUAAAAAAGCCAAAUAUACUGAAGAAAGAGUGCAAAGAACCACUGUUUAUUACCA